rnacentral:misc_RNA from 1 species
GAAAUGCGAUAAGUAAUGUGAAUUGCAGAAUUCCGAGAAUCAUCGAAUCUUUGAACGCACAUUGCGCCCUCUGGUAUUCCGGGGGGCAUGCCUGUCCGAGCGUCAUUGCGAACCCCUCAAGCACGGCUUGUGUGAUGGGCCCUCCCGCGUCUUGGUCGUCAAGACGGGCCCGAAAAGCAGUGGCGGCUUCGCGGUUAUCCGAUCAGUCAGAGCGUAUGGGGACUUUCUCUCUGUCACACGCCCGCGGCGCGGACCGACGCCUGUCGACCUUUAUUCAUCUUUUUCUCGGUUGACCUCGGAUCAGGUAGGGAUACCCGCUGAACUUAAGC